rnacentral:rRNA from 1 species
AUUGAACGCUGGCGGCAGGCCUAACACAUGCAAGUCGAACGAGUGGCGGACGGGUGAGUAAUGUCUGGGAAACUGCCCGAUGGAGGGGGAUAACUACUGGAAACGGUAGCUAAUACCGCAUACCAUCGGAUGUGCCCAGAUGGGAUUAGCUAGUAGGUGGGGUAACGGCUCACCUAGGCGACGAUCCCUAGCUGGUCUGAUAGGAUGACCAGCCACACUGGAACUGAGACACGGCCCAGACUCCUACGGUAGGCAGGAGUGGGGAAUAUGGCACAAUGGGCGAAAGCCUGAUGCAGCCAUGCCGCGUGUAGGAAGAAGGCCUUCGGGUUGUAAAGUACUGUCAGCGAGGAGGCGUUACUCGCAGAAGAAGCACCGGCUAACUCCGUGCCAGCAGCCGCGGUAAUUC